rnacentral:tRNA from 1 species
GGCGCUAUAGUGAAGUGGUAACACAUGGCUCUGCAAAAGCCUAAUCACCGGUUCAAAUCCGGUUAGCGCCU